rnacentral:ncRNA from 1 species
UGGGAGGCAUCCGAAAAUCCUUUAAAAGAGUAGGAA